rnacentral:rRNA from 1 species
GACGAACGCUGGCGGCGUGCUUAACACAUGCAAGUCGAACGGAAAGGCCCUGCUUUUGUGGGGUGCUCGAGUGGCGAACGGGUGAGUAACACGUGAGUAACCUUCCCUUGACUUUGGGAUAACUUCAGGAAACUGGGGCUAAUACCGGAUAGGAGCUCCUGCUGCAUGGUGGGGGUUGGAAAGUUUCGGCGGUUGGGGAUGGACUCGCGGCUUAUCAGCUUGUUGGUGGGGUAGUGGCUUACCAAGGCUUUGACGGGUAGCCGGCCUGAGAGGGUGACCGGCCACAUUGGGACUGAGAUACGGACCAGAGUGCUACGGGAGGCAGCGGUGGGGAAUAUUGCACAAUGGGCGGAAGCCUGAUGCAGCAACGCCGGGUGCGGGAUGACGGUCUUCGGGUUGUAAACCGCUUUAGCCUGUGACGAAGCGUGAGUGACGGUAAUGGGUAAAGAAGCACCGGCUAACUACGUG